rnacentral:lncRNA from 1 species
GGACGGGGAGCAGAAUCUGGCACUCGGCAACCUUCGGCGGUUUCCGUGCAGGCCUGGCCGCCAUUUUCUCGCAGCCUUCGUGCGCUCGGUGUUUGCGCGGCUCUCCGUCCUGCCUGCCCGCGCUUUGUCCUGCUCGGCGAUGGACGGCAUUGUCACUGAUGUUGCAGUUGGUGUGAAGAGAGGAUCUGACGAACUUCUUUCAGGCAGUGUACUCAAUAGCCCGAACUCUAACAUGAGCAGCAUGGUAGUUACUGUGCUUUGUCUGAUAAAUACACAACCCUGCACUUGUUGCUUGUUCUUCAGCUUUUAAACCUUGGGGAAAAAGAAGUCUUAUUUCCUUAAGAACUGGAAUGAUGAUUCCUCUGUGAUGAGUUACUUUCAUGUUCAGUUUUGAUUUUUUGAGGCUGUUUUCCUUUCAGAUGUAGGAAUGCUUGAUAGAAGUCCUGAAAUAGUUAAAUGUAUGAAGGUGCUYGUGUGGUGAACUGUGGUGCUGAAAUAUACAAAAAUUUCUGAAGACAUUGAAAAUUGUCAAAGACAAGGGAUUGAAAUGGAAAACUUGGCAAUUUUU